UUCAAGCUGAGAUUUGGGUGGGGACACUGGCAAACCAUAUCAACUGCUGUAACAAGAUGUUCCAGAGUCAUCUUCUACUGCUUCUCUUUUAGACCUGUUACUCAUUUCUUAAAGAUGCCUUUUUGUUUGUUUCUUUUUGUAUCAUUUUGUAUUUUCAUGGGAAAUCUCUUCCAGUGUCUGCUGUCAAGGUGUUCUGCUGUUCUUUACUGUGGAUAUCUGUUGGCUGUUCUAUGGUGUUGCUGUUCUCACCCCGUCAGAUGCCUGGUGGCUUCUCUCUGUUUCCUCCUGCAAAGAUGUCAAUACCAUACAGAGGCAGAAUUUGUUCCAGAGUCUGAGCUGCUGAUUCCCCAAAUGGGGUUAAAUAUUGCAUUGCUCCCCAGCUGGAAACCUGCAGAGACAGAGAAUAAACGAGAGACAAGGAUCUCCCUGCAUUGCCCGGUCUGAAGUGCAGAGGUGCAAUCAUAGCUCUUUGCAAGUCUUGGCUUCCCAGUCUCAGGUGAGCAU